CGGGUUAGGUUAAAACGCGGAAGCGGAUGCGAAACGGAACGGAUGCGGAACGGAUAUGGGGUUAAAAUGCGGAACGGAACGGAUAUGCGGAACGGAACGGAUAUGCGGAACGGAACGGAUAUGGGGUUAAAAUGCGGAACGGAAAUGCGGAACGGAACGGAUAUGGGGUUAAAACGUGGAACGGAACGGGAAUAAAACGUUUUUUAAAAACAGACAUGAUUUUUCAUGACAAUAAGAGCUUAAUCUUUUAGAAGUUUUCGUCGAAGUCAUGGCAUAUAGGAAGUAUCAAGA